CCUCGACUUGCGGCCCUGCACACCGUCUCAGGUGGAACACACGCGUGCAUGCAUGCUCACGUGCGUGUGCGCAGCACUACUCUGCUCUCUGUACUCUCCAUUUCUUCAUGCAUCAUGCCACCUCGUGCGGCGCGUAGCUCGAAUACAAACUCGGUGAGUGUGGCCGUCAAGAGACACCUGUGCAACGCUGCCGCCUCACCGGUGGCCGCCGCCAGUAAUGGUCGAAGAGCGAGGGCAACCAUCGUGGAAAUGCCUGCAUUGGAGGCUGACGCCGCCGCUUCAAACCAGUCCUCGUCACGAGUGUCGCGGCGUCGGCGCGAUGUGGUUCCGCAGGAGACCCCGGAAUGGCAACGGAUGGCGUUAAAGACCGCCGCCGCCGCGGCAUCCCGGAAGUCCCGCGCCAGCGCUGCGAAGAAGACGAAGCCGAAUGGACGACGAAGGGGCCCCCCAAAGGGGAGGGCCGAGUCGGACGAAGAUGAAGACGAGGCGGCACCCGCUGCCGAGUUAUCGUCGCAGAGGGGGGAGGAGGACGCGGACCACUCCGCCUCGCACGCUGAAAUCAACGCGAGCAGCAGUAUCAGCAGCAAGCGUGCCAGGCCUCACCGCGGCAAGGCCGAGAAAGCGGCAGGGACGCCAGCGCCGAAGCGAGGGCAACGCGUCCCCGUCGCGGAGCUGGUGUGCCCACGCUGCAGGCUACGCAUGGACCACUGGCCCUUCUGCGGACUGUCAGGUGACGCGCAUGUGCUGCGGGCACCGCCAUCAGCCGCCAGGGAAGAGGACGAGUCGCGACCGAAGGAGGCAGCCGCAGCGGCCGCAGCACACUAGGCCGUCGACGAGCGGCGACUGCCAUCAGGAAGGAAAAGACUCGAAAAGUAAUGCGGGCACUCUGCGAAAAUGUGUAAGGGUGUCGUUUGCGUGUUCGCGCGUGCGUGUGCAUGUGUUCCUUGACGCUCAUCGCCGCGCAUCACAGCACUUGUGACGACGCUCUUGCGGAGUGCGGCUGCUCCCUUGCAGCCUCCCAUCCACCAACGGUCACCACUGUUCUCAUUGCAUAGAUAGAUGCCCACGCAUCCCCUUGGUCGGCAUUGUUCUCUAUCGUGCUACCCAACUCUUCUCCAGCGCUUGAGGGGGAAGGGCGCGGGAGUGUCUCCUCCAUCCACUCCGGAUGUAUCCCUAUCGCCCAUCCCCACGACUGCUGCAUCGGUUCCAUUUCUUAGGUGCCGCCUGUGCGCAGUACAGCGCCACCCCCUCCAUCCCGCCCUCAGUUGCUUGCUCUCUUCCUCUCUGCGUGUGUUUGUUCGUCGAUCUCCUUAU
rnacentral:misc_RNA from 1 species